AUGCUUCCUAAACUUAAAGAGCAUGCCUUCUAUCAACUCACCCAAGGUAAUGUUUCUAUUUGGAGCAUGCCUUGGUGCAAUCUUUGGAACUCUAUUCAUGAUUUUCUCAUUCCUCAACCAUCAGGCUUUAUUUAUCCCUCCUUGGUUAGGGAUCCUUGGCAGCCUGGGCAAAGGCAAUGGAACCGUCAGGUCAUUUUCUCUCUUUUUCAGCAACCUUUGGCUACUCAGAUUAUCAACAUUGAUAUUCUUGAGGAUGAUAAUGCUGAUAUUCUUUGUUGGCCUUUGGCUCCCAAUGGUAUUUGCUCUUCCAAAGCUGCUUAUAAACUUUGCUUACAAGACAUUCAUACUAAUCCUAGAACUGCUCCUCUAGAUGUUCCUUUGGAUUUGAAAGCUUUUCUUAAAACUAUUUGGAAGCAGAAAGAUUUAUUGCCCAAGGUUAAAACUUUUGCUUGGAGGAUGCUUAGCAAAGCUUUGCCCAUAGGAAUGAGAGCAGGCCGUUUUUCUAUUCACAUUUCGCAGAACUGUUGUAGAUGUGCUUAG
rnacentral:rRNA from 1 species